rnacentral:rRNA from 1 species
GAGGCACGAAAGUGUGGGGAUCAAACAGGAUUAGAUACCCUGGUAGUCCACACUGUAAACGAUGAUAACUCGCUGUCGGCGAUACACAGUCGGUGGCCAAGCGAAAGCAUUAAGUUAUCCACCUGGGGAGUACGACCGCAAGGUUGAAACUCAAAGGAAUUGACGGGGGCCCGCACAAGCGGAGGAACAUGUGGUUUAAUUCGAUGAUACGCGAGGAACCUUACCCGGGCUCGAACGGUGCAUGAAUAUACGAGAGAUUGUAUAGUCCUUCGGGACAUGUAUCGAGGUGCUGCAUGGUUGUCGUCAGCUCGUGCCGUGAGGUGUCGGCUUAAGUGCCAUAACGAGCGCAACCCUUGUCAUUAGUUGCCAUCAGGUCAAGCUGGGGACUUUAAUGAGACUGCCACCGUAAGGUGUGAGGAAGGGGGGGAUGACGUCAAAUCAGCACGGCCCUUAUGUCCGGGGCGACACACGUGUUACAAUGGGAGGUACAGAGGGCAGCUAUCCGGUGACGGAAUGCUAAUCUCCAAAACCUUUCUCAGUUCGGAUUGGAGUCUGCAACUCGACUCCAUGAAGGUGGAUUCGCUAGUAAUCGCGCAUCAGCCAUGGCGCGGUGAAUACGUUCCCGGGCCUUGUACACACCGCCCGUCAAGCCAUGGAAGCUUGGGGUGCCUGAAGUUCGUGACCGCAAGGAGCGACCUAAGGCAAAACAGGUAACUGGGGCUAAGUCGUAACAAGGUAGCCGUAAAGGG